rnacentral:rRNA from 1 species
CCCUAAANUAUUAAGGUAUCACCUGCCCAGNGAAAUUUUAAACGGCCGCGGUAUCCUAACCGUGCAAAGGUAGCGUAAUCACUUGUCCCCUAAAUAGGGACUAGUAUGAAUGGUUAAAUGAGGAUACACCUGUCUCUUGUGGGAGAUCAGUGAAACUGAACCCCCAGUACAAAUGCUGGGAUAAAUACACAAGACGAGAAGACCCUGCGGAGCUUCAAACUACACUCAAACAAUUAAUUGAGAACGAGUUUUCAGUUGGGGCGACUUCGGAACAAAACUAAGCUUCCGAGAUAAAGGACCUCCCUUGGCAACGACUAACAAGCCAAAGCACCAAUAAACCAUGACCCGGACCAAGUCCGAUCAACGAACCAAGUUACCCCAGGGAUAACAGCGCUAUCUUCUUUAAGAGUCCAUAUCAACAAGAAGGCUUACGACCUCGAUGUUGGAUCAGGACACCCAAAUGGUGCAGCCGCUAUUAAUGGUUCGUUUGUUCAACGAUUAACAGUCCUACGUGAUCUG